GCGGAAUUCAUGUUGAGUUUUGAGUGUUCUCCAAAAUGUAUUUUCCUGUUUUCCUUCAGUCUUCUUUUUGUAUCGACGCCGUCGUCCUCAUGUCAGCGGAAGUGACCGAUGACGUCACUGGAAGACAGGAAGAAAAAAAAACAAGUCCGUCCCCAACGUUGCCAAACGUGCGAUAAUUAUUUGGACGAUUCCCUAACAAUACUUGUAAACCUCCUAAUCUAUGAUGAUUUACCUGUUCAAUAUAUGGAUAAUGACAAACAAAGGAUACACCCACUGUUUACUCUGAGUAGAAGGGGGUCCAAACUAAGCAACGUCGUCGUCAACUUGGAAUGUCACGCAUGACGGAGCUGCUUAUGAGGGCUGUGAGAUGGGAUGGUGGCCCAGACAAGACCUGCUUCUCGUUGAGAAGAGCGAUUGGCGAUUUCAUGUAAGAUUCUCCAAAAGGGUCCCAUUAGACCCAAAAAAGUUGCUAGAUUUGUUGCUAGUCGCUUUUUGGGAUAAACAAUCUUGAGGGGUCAAAAUACUUAUUAAAUAACAAGAUAAAUAGCAA